rnacentral:rRNA from 1 species
UGGAUCCAGACUUUGAGCUGGCUCAGGACGAACGCUGGCGGCGUGCCUAAUACAUGCAAGUCGAGCGAGCUUGCCUAGAUGAUUUUAGUGCUUGCACUAAAUGAAACUAGAUACAAGCGAGCGGCGGGCGGGUGAGUAACACGUGGGUAACCUGCCCAAGAGACUGGGAUAACACCUGGAAACAGAUGCUAAUACCGGAUAACAACACUAGACGCAUGUCUAGAGUUUGAAAGAUGGUUCUGCUAUCACUCUUGGAUGGACCUGCGGUGCAUUAGCUAGUUGGUAAGGUAACGGCUUACCAAGGCAAUGAUGCAUAGCCGAGUUGAGAGACUGAUCGGCCACAUUGGGACUGAGACACGGCCCAAACUCCUACGGGAGGCAGCAGUAGGGAAUCUUCCACAAUGGACGAAAGUCUGAUGGAGCAACGCCGCGUGAGUGAAGAAGGGUUUCGGCUCGUAAAGCUCUGUUGGUAGUGAAGAAAGAUAGAGGUAGUAACUGGCCUUUAUUUGACGGUAAUUACUUAGAAAGUCACGGCUAACUACGUGCCAGCAGCCGCGGUAAUACGUAGGUGGCAAGCGUUGUCCGGAUUUAUUGGGCGUAAAGCGAGUGCAGGCGGUUCAAUAAGUCUGAUGUGAAAGCCUUCGGCUCAACCGGAGAAUUGCAUCAGAAACUGUUGAACUUGAGUGCAGAAGAGGAGAGUGGAACUCCAUGUGUAGCGGUGGAAUGCGUAGAUAUAUGGAAGAACACCAGUGGCGAAGGCGGCUCUCUGGUCUGCAACUGACGCUGAGGCUCGAAAGCAUGGGUAGCGAACAGGAUUAGAUACCCUGGUAGUCCAUGCCGUAAACGAUGAGUGCUAAGUGUUGGGAGGUUUCCGCCUCUCAGUGCUGCAGCUAACGCAUUAAGCACUCCGCCUGGGGAGUACGACCGCAAGGUUGCAACUCAAAU